CCUGGGACCGGAUUUAGCCAUGCUAGUUGCGCGAGUUCAGACUCGCAGCAGAUAGCUCAGUAACACGUGGUCAAGCUACCCUGCAGACACGGACAACCUCGGGAAACUGAGGCUAAUCCGCGAUACCGAUCCCACGCUGGAAUGCCGGGAUCUACAAACGCUCCGGCGCUGCAGGAUGCGGCUGCGGCCGAUUAGGUAGACGGUGGGGUAACGGCCCACCGUGCCGAUAAUCGGUACGGGUUGUGAGAGCAAGAGCCCGGAGACGGAAUCUGAGACAAGAUUCCGGGCCCUACGGGGCGCAGCAGGCGCGAAACCUUUACACUGCACGCAAGUGCGAUAAGGGGACUCCGAGUGCGAGGGCAUAUAGUCCUCGCUUUUGAGAACCGUAAGGUGGUUCUCGAAUAAGAGCUGGGCAAGACCGGUGCCAGCCGCCGCGGUAAUACCGGCAGCUCAAGUGAUGGCCAAUCUUAUUGGGCCUAAAGCGUCCGUAGCUGGCCGUGAAAGUUCGUCGGGAAAUCCAUCCGCUCAACGGAUGGGCGUCCGGCGAAAACUUCACGGCUUGGGACCGGAAGGCUCGAGGGGUACGUCCGGGGUAGGAGUGAAAUCCUGUAAUCCUGGACGGACCGCCGAUGGCGAAAGCACCUCGAGAAGACGGAUCCGACAGUGAGGGACGAAAGCUAGGGUCUCGAACCGGAUUAGA
rnacentral:rRNA from 1 species